CGACGCCUCAUUGGCCGUGCCUCUGAGGCGCGACGCGCUUAUUUGCAGUUUCCGCCCGGUGGGGAAACGGAGUUCCUGUUUGUCUUUGUUGAUGCUUUGAGUAACUGCGUGACAGGACGGUAGAGAUGAGGAGAGGGCGGAUAAGCUCGUGUUGACGAGCUUAGACCAUAAGAGUCGGGUGAGAGUCUGUUUUAAGCAUUUCAAUUAGGUGUGGAUCAUGCUUGAUGAAAAAUGAGGAUAGAAUGAAAGAGGCGUGUUAUUGUUGGAUCAGUAGCUGCAAGUGCGCCAGUCCUCAGGGCGCUGUGCCCCAGGCUGCGAGAGCGUGGACGUCCGACUCAGAAGUUUCACCUCCUGAGCCCGGCCCGCAGUCGGCUGUUUGGGAACAGAAACAUUUUACCUGGAAAGAACGGAAAAGUAAGAAAUUUAAGGCGUUUACCCCGAGUGCAGGACUUUGGAGCCGCUGACCUGAUUCACAUUGCCUCAGCAGGUGGUUAAACUCACCGCCUCACUUGCGAACUGGGGAGAAAAUAAUACCCACCGCGUAGGCUUUUUGUGAGAGCAAAUAUACCAUUUGUAGAAGAGCAGUGCUUGGCAUGUUGUAAGCACAUGUUAGUGUCAGGCGUCAUUUUCCUUAAAUAGCUUCCAGGAAGGACAAAACAUCAACAGAGCUUUAGCUCGAUAACUUGGGCAGUGUAGUAAAGCAAUUUCAUCUGCAGUUACAGAUUUUUCAUAGUUCUACUUUUUGCUUAUUUCAGUUCUGCAGUGUGUGGAAUUCCCCACAGGGUGGCAGAAAAUAAUUUGAAGGCAGAGUUACUUCUUGUGUGUGUGUGUGUGACCUUUAAUUUUUUCUUCAUUUUAGUAACUACCAUUUAAUAAACUUGAUCAGUGUUUGCUUUGAUUUUCAGUAAGCCAUUCUACUAUUUACCUUUCAUUCCCAUCUCAUGAUUUAUUCAUACUUACUGUUGAAAUUUGAGAAACUACAGAUAUACCGAAAGAUGGUCACUAUGGAUAUGUUAGAUUUAGAUUUCUGUAUACCCAGAACUAUAUAAGUGAACAUGUGCCUAUAAAAAAAUGCACCUUAUAGUUUAAAGUCUCUUUUUUUAUUUAAAAAUAUAACAUGACUUUUUCAGAUCAAUAUAUUUCAACACCAUAUUUUUAAAGGGUUAUUUAUUAGCAUGUUGUAUUGAACAUAUAGGUAGCUCCAUGUUUUAUAGUUUUAAAAAAAGUACUGCAAGCCAGGUCCCAGUGGCAUACACCUAUAAUCCCAGUGCUUGGACUCUCUGACAGGAGGAUGUAAAGUUCAAGACCAGCGAGCCUGGGCUACAUGGCAAAACAUUGUCUCCAAUACACUAAAACCCAAAUAAACACAAAUAAAAACAAAACAAAUAACAACAGUGCAUCUCAGCCCAGCACUUCGUAAUGUCCAAAAAGUCAGAAACAUACGACUAACACUGUCAAAUAAUAUACUAGUUACAUUUUCAGAUAUGUUCAGUUUUCCUUCCACUUCCACAGAAGUAGCUCAGAAUCAAUGGAUCCAGCUGUUACUCUGAAAAGUAUUUAAAACAUAAUUUUCUCUGUUUUGACUGUCUGUACAAUAGCAUAUUUUGAAGAUUAUUGUUCCUCUGUGCUCCCUUGAAUAGGCAGAUGUUUAGAGAUAUUUAGAUUCUUAACAAAUGAAAAUGAAUUCAGAAAAAACAUGGCUUCUAAACUCUGUAUGGAAAGCAUUACAUAGAAAGUGAUAUGUUAGCUCAGUCACCAUCAGCAUUUUCCUUUGUGGUUCUGGCUUUGAUCUAAUGUGCAGAUAGGCUUUCCUUACCCUACAGUUCUACAAAUAAUCACUGUUUUCUUCUGGGGGUUUCAUAGUUAAUUUUUUUUAACAUAAGUUUCCCAUCCAAUUGGAAUUUUGUGUACAUGCUUAUAAUAUAAAACAAGGCAUCUGAUUUUAUUAAAUUGACUAGGUUACCUAACAUCAUCUAUUGAAACAUCCAAUAAUUCUUGAAGUCAAUUAGAAUUUAGUCCAAUGAAUGUUUACUUUUCGAAUUGUCAUUUUGGGUUGCCCACUUCUUUCAAGGAUCCAGUCAUUUGAUAACUCUUUUUUUUUUGGUUUUUUUCUGGUACUGGGAAUUGAACUCAUAACCUGUGCCUCUGAGCUAAAUCCGCAGCCCAUUUGAUAACUCUUUAUUGAACAAUAUUAGAAGUCGGUGCUGUUGGGCCCUAAGGAUGCAGGAAAAUCAGACCCAGUGUGUACUUUCAAAGAGCUCAUCCACUACAGAGAGGGACAUCGGAAGACAGUGAACACUUAGGUUGAGACCUUGGUUCUUCUAAGCUACAGCUAAGUUGAAGGGAACGAAACUGACUGGGGUGGGAGAACGGGGAGGCAGUAAGAGAAGGAAUCCGAAGGAGGUAACGUUGAGCCUAGUGAGCAGAGGCGGAUCUUCUAAGAACAGGAAAUGGCUUAUGCUGACUCAGCGGUGUCUAGGAGCUGCGUGUAAGUGCGCCUGGCUGCAGCACAGUUGUAGGGGAGUGGGUGGCUGUGAACAGCCCUCCCCCAAAAGAAGGCCAAAUUAAAAGGGGGUUUUUAUUAGUGGUAAGGAUUGAUUCAGAGCCAAUGUAAAGAGCAGUGUGGAAAAGCGAUCCAUCGUUACUUUAUGAUUGCACCUUGGAAGAGAACUGAAAGAAGCCGUGUAUGACGACACCAUCAUUACGUUAAGUCUUUCGGAGAGAACAACUUUGAGGGAGCAGUACUUACUUGAACGUAUGCUCUGGUGUGCAUGUUAGAACCAUUCGUGAGAUGUUGUCGUACUUCAUACAUCAAAAUAAAAGCCCUCGGCCACCACAGGUUUGAAGAGGUGCUGAGUCCGGGCCAAGAUCGGACAUUCCUUAAUGAUGAGAUGCUGCAGGCAUGGACGCAGGGCUGAAGUGAGCUACAAGACAGCAUGUGCCCUGCGCUAGCAGAAAAUGAUACUGUCAGGCCUGAUGAGAAGAUGCCCUCGGCCACGUUCUGAAAGCCAGGAUGACCCGUUACCUCGGUGAGCGGUGGAGGGACAUUUCCUUGGGGUGCCCUGUGUACAGAGGGAAGCACCAAUCCCAGGGAAUUACUAAUGUGUUGACAUCUUUUCUAUGUGGAAAACUGUGGUCCUCGUAGACAUUUUGUGUUCUGUUUCCAUUCUCUAUGGGUCCCUGUCUUCUAUGAAAGUGUGAGCGCUUGUGCUACCUUUUCUGGAGCACACAGAUUCCUGGAGAGCUCUAUUCUGCUGUUCUUACUGUUGGACCGUACUCCCUGGUUGAACCAGGCUCCUGCCAUCUCCCAGCAGAUGGAGAAAUUUGGGUGUGUUGUUACUCUGUACUAACGGGACGUGUUACAUGCCUUCAGAUUGUUUUUUUAACUAAUUAGAAGAGAGUCUUCUCACAGUGCUUUGCCUGACGUCUCUCAUAAAUCCAGCCUACGAAUGGCAAAAUCAAGGUAUCUAUGAGAAGGACAGAGUUUCUCUUAGAGCUGUUGCCAGCCCAUCUGACAACUGUCUGGAAAGUAGCGAAGGGAUCCCUUCUGGGGAUGAAGUUCCUUGGGCCAAGGCUGAUAGAGCCUUGCUCCGGAACCUGUGGCUCAGUUAAUGGAAUGUUCCCUCUAGUGAGUGCUAAGUGCAGGCCACAGCCUGCUCAACUGGACAGGCCGGCCCUGGUUUCCUACUAAGACCUUGGAAUGGAGUGUAAUUCUUUUAUCUAUGAGGACUUCCUUAUUGUUCUGUGAGUAAAGCAUUUCUGGACAGUUGGUUCUGAACCCUUGAGUGAAAUUUCCAGAAACAUUUAUCUGAGCUGCUUACUGUUGCUUAGUAGGCCUGCUCCCCAACCUGGGACCUGACCUCACCAAGAUACAGUGAGAGAUGAUGAAGAAUAAAAAUUGUUAGAGACAACACUUAGAAAAUGCUGUGUGAGAUCAUUUUCAGAAGGUGUAAGAUGUAUUGAAUAAAACUCUCAAAAGUUA